rnacentral:rRNA from 1 species
AACGAACGCUGGCGGCAUGCCUAACACAUGCAAGUCGAACGAGACCUUCGGGUCUAGUGGCGCCCGGGUGCGUAACGCGUGGGAACCUGCCCUUAGGUUCGGAAUAACUCCCCGUAAGGGGUGCUAAUACCGGAUAAUGUCUUCGGACCAAAGAUUUAUCGCCUUUGGAUGGGCCCGCGUUGGAUUAGCUAGUUGGUAGGGUAAAAGCCUACCAAGGCGACGAUCCAUAGCUGGUCUGAGAGGAUGAUCAGCCACACUGGGACUGAGACACGGCCCAGACUCCUACGGGAGGCAGCAGUGGGGAAUAUUGGACAAUGGGCGAAAGCCUGAUCCAGCAAUGCCGCGUGAGUGAUGAAGGCCUUAGGGUUGUAAAGCUCUUUUACCCGGGAUGAUAAUGACAGUACCGGGAGAAUAAGCUCCGGCUAACUCCGUG